GAUGAACGCUAGCUACAGGCUUAACACAUGCAAGUCGAGGGGUAACGAGAGGAAAGCUUGCUUUCCUUGUCGACGACCGGCGCACGGGUGAGUAACGCGUAUCCAACCUGCCCCCAACUAGGGAAUAACCUUGCGAAAGUAAGACUAAUACCCUAUAAUUUCCUCAGAUGUCAUCUGACGAGGAAUAAAGAUUUAUCGGUUGUGGAUGGGGAUGCGUCUGAUUAGCUUGUUGGCGGGGUAACGGCCCACCAAGGCAACGGUCAGUAGGGGUUUUGAGAGGAAGGUCCCCCACAUUGGAACUGAGACACGGUCCAAACUCCUACAGGAGGCAGCAGUGAGGAAUAUUGGUCAAUGGGCGGAAGCCUGAACCAGCCAAGUAGCGUGCAGGAUGACGGCCCUAUGGGUUGUAAACUGCUUUUAUACAGGAAUAAAGUUAGCCACGUGUGGUUAUUUGUAGGUACUGUAUGAAUAAGGACCGGCUAAUUCCGUGCCAGCAGCCGCCGUAA
rnacentral:rRNA from 1 species